rnacentral:lncRNA from 1 species
AUUCAAGCUCCUUUGGUUCUAUUUUCAAAUUUUAGAGUUGGAUUCUAAGAUAAACUUGGAUAAAGCUUAGAUUCAAGCUCCUUUUGUUUUUGAUCGAGCUCGUUUUUGGUUGUCGAUUACUUGUUGAAGAUGAAAUUGAUUUGGGAUAGUCGAAUCUGUUUCUAGUUUUUGGAUUCGAAUUUGUUUCUAUUUUUGUUUCAUCGAAGAUUCAGACCUGUGAUUUCGAUCGUUAUGUGAUGAUUUGGAACGAUUACGCUUUUUGAUUCAUGCUCGUUUUGUUUAGGUUUGGUUCAUUUGUCAAAUUUAGUGUUUGAUUAGGUGAUUACAUUUGAUUUCGUCUGUUUUUGAUCAAGCUUCUGGUUUUGAGGUUUGUUUACUGUGAUUAUGAAGAAUCUGUGACGAUUUGGAACAUACUAAGGUAGAGAUCAAUGGAUUGUGAACUCAGUGUGGUUUGAUAUAUUUGAUUUGAACAUACUCUGAUUUGAUGCAUCUCAUAUCAAAUUUAUGUGAUCCUCUUUAGAUUUUGAGUGUUACUCAAGCCUGUUUUUCUUAAGCUAAUGAUACUCUUUGCAUGAUGUUUUUUCAGCCUCUGCUUCAUCCACAGUUAAGAAAGUUGCUGCUUCUCCUAAUGCACCAAAAACUGGUAUGAUCUUCUUUGUUAUGAUACUUGAUUUUGCUACAAUGAAGUGAUGAGGUCAAUCGUUUUCUUGUUUAAUUCUGAUUUUAUGGUAGAGAUCAAUGGAUCAUGAUCCCAGUGAUUGGUGUAUUUGAUUCGAACAUACCAAGAAUUUGAUGCAUCUCAUAAUUCAACUUUAUGCUAGUUAAUUUUGGUUGAUCUGAGCUUGUUUGAUGAUUAUAUGGCUGUGCCUUUAGAGUUUGGAGUUCAAAUUUGCUAUUAAGUGAGAUUGAUUGUACUCUUAUCUGAGUUAAUUUGGAGUUAGAUGAAUUGUUUUGUUAGAUCUUGACUGUUGUUCUUGGUUUGAAUCAGACUAUGGUGUUCCUUUUAGAGAUUCUACUAGAUUUUGAUGCAGUCAAGUGUUAGUUUCGUUUAUUAAAGAUGUCAUAAAAGUGAUUGAUAGUGAUCAGCUCAGUGUUGGUUGUUGAUAUUGGUUCAUUAUUAGAUCAGAGUUUUCAAUUGCAGGAACAUUUUAACAAUUUUCAUGAUUUGCCAUCUGUUAUUGCUUAUUGGCUUAUUGCUAUGUUAUCAAGCUUUAGAGUUCAAAUAUAUAUCAAAGGAUUAAACUAGUCCUAUUUGGUUAGCUUCUCUUACACCUAAUGUUGCAUACGUUUGUUAACUUGAUUUACUGAUGUGUAAAUAUGUUCAACAGAUACCAAGAAUGCUGUUGCUUCAGGUUUUGGAAAUGGUAAGAAGGAUCCUGUUUCUUCUUCUGGUUUGGUGAAAGCUUCGACAGGUUCUGCAGGUGGUAAGAGGAAAUCGGUAUCUUCUAAGGGCUUAGUGAUAGGUGAAAAUGAAAAUGGUAAAGGCGAAGACCCCAAUUCUGAUGAUGAUCCACCAGAAGAAAUAUUUCAGACUCCAUACAAGAAAUUCAAAGAUGAGCGUAAGGGUCAACGUAAGAAUUUUGCAAGGAAUCCGUAUCAGUGCCCUGAUCUGAAUUACACGUUUGACUGGACCAACAAAGACAGGAAAAAUUAUGUGAAAUGGCU